rnacentral:lncRNA from 1 species
CUGCAUACUCACGCUCUCCUAACCCUUAAUCCUCUUUCUACCUCUGGUCCACCACGAAGCUGCUUCUGGCUUUCCUCCACCGGGAAACCACUUCUCUACAAACCGCGUUUCGUUCACGCAAGAUGUGUUCUGCGAUUUGUUGGAUUUCAAGGUACAAAAGGUGACUACCACUUCUGCAAUACACGUUUCAAGGUGAUUUUUGUUGGAUGAAUUGGCGUUUCCGUUUCCGUGCUGUGUUUUUUACUGGAUCCACGAACUGAUUUUUUACAGGAUGAAAUUCAUUUCUCGGUUCAGUUAGAGGUUCAAAACGUCAACUGAUUUUCUACGGUGUUUUAAUCAUCUGCAACUUGCUUAUGGUUCUGAAAUUUUGCAAGAGUGCAACGCUAUUCCCAGCUAAGUUCUGAAAUCACGUCUACUGAUUUUACUGCUUUGAGAACGAAAUCAGUAUUAAAGUUUUAUAGCAGUUCAGGGAGAUGAUCAAGGAUUACUUCUGUUCCAAUUCCUGUAAGUUGCUUCUUACUCAUCAUCUUAACUCUAGGUAAUUUAUUGUUUGUUACGGUAUUUUAGGAAUUCCUUUUUAACUUUAGUCUGAAUUAAAUAUAGAUUUUUAAACCAUAUAUCAAUCUAGGUUUAAAAAACAGUGAGAAGUGGACUAAUUAGUAUUUCUUUAGUACUUGAAGUGCAGAGUAUAGUAAACACGAUGCAAGAAAAAAGAAAACAGAGAAGAAAAGAAGGACGAGGGAGAUAAAAAGAGAACGAAGAGGUGUGUUUUACGUUUUGAUGUAUCUGAUAACUCUUUUUGCAGCUUUCAUAUGUGUUUCGUUUGGACAGUGCAUGAACCUUGAAAGAAUACUCACAACAUUUAGGAUGUCAGGUCUGGUUGUUGUUAAGUACAUCAGACAACCUAUCAAACUUCUAAACUUAGAUUCAUUAACCUUGUCAGAACCAUCAUCUUUGAUUAGCUUCUCCUUUUGAUUCAUGGGAGUGUUCACAGUUUUGCAAUCUUCCAUCAGAAAUUUCUUGAGUAUUUCCUUUGCAUGUUUUCUUUGACUUAAGAAAACUUCAUCCUGAUUCUGUUUGAUCUCAAUGCCAAGAAAGUAUGACAUAAGACCAAGAUCUGUCAUUUCAAAGACCUUUUUCAUUUCCAGUUUGAACUGGUUGAUUUCUUCAACAUUGCUUCCUGUAACUAACAUGACAUCCACAUAAAGAGAAAUUACCAAAAUAUUUGUACCUUGAUGUUUGACAUACAAUGUGAGUUCAGAUUGGCUUUUAUGAAAGCCAAGGUGCACCAGAUGAUCAUCAACCUUGUUGUACCAGGCUCGUGGAGCUAGCUUUAAUCCAUAUAAAUCCUUUUUCAAAAAGUAGACUUUAUUUUCAUUGCCCUCAUUCACAAAGCCUUCAGGUUGUUCAACAAAAAUUUCUUCUUGCAAAUCUCCAUUUAAGAAUGCAGAUUUAACAUCCAAAUGGUAUACUUUCCAGCUCCUUUGAGCAGCAAGAGCAAGCAAUAAUAUUACAGUGUCAAGCCUGGCAACAGGUGCAAAUGUCUUUGAAUAAUCAACACCAAAAACUUGUGCAUAUCCUUUCACAACAAGUCUUGCUUUGAAUUUGUUGAUAGAACCAUCAGGACUUAGCUUGGUUCUGAAAACCCAUCUUACUCCAAUUAUUUUUCUGUUUAGUCGACCAACCAACUCCCAGGUUUUAUUUUUCUCAAUCAUAGAAAGCUCCUCCUACAUUGCAGCCAUCCAGUGUUGACUGUUUUUUGCAUCGUGAAAUCCUGCAGGCUCACAAACAGCUACAUUGCACCUUUGACAGAUGUCAGACAAUAGUCUUGUUCCUCUGACAGGUGCAUCAUCAACUGUAGCAUCAUCUUCAGAUUCUUCAGUCAUGCUCCCAAGGGUUGAACUGUUUGGAGCAUUUGGACUUUGAUUCACCUUAGUUGAACUUUCCCAAUCCCAUUGUUCAUUUUCAACAAAAUGAACAUCUCUGCUUACAAUCACACGACCAAUUUGUGGCUGAAAAAUUUUGUAAGCUUUGGAUACAGUGCUAUAUCCAACAAAGAUGCUUGCUUAUGCUUUUUUAUCAAGCUUAUCACGCUUGACCUGUGGAAUAUAAGUGAAGCAAAGACAACCAAAUAUUUUGAGAAAUUUUAAAGAAGGUUUGUAGCCAUACCAAGCUUCAUAUGGUGUCAGAUCUUUCAAGGCUUUUGUAGAAAUUCGAUUUUGUAGGAAUACAACAGUGUUUGUUGCCUCCCCCCAUAACCCUUUUGGAAGAUUCUUUUCAUGGAGCAUACACCUUGUCAUCUCCAUAAUGAAUCUGUUCUUCCUUUCACUGACACCAUUCUGUCGAGGAGUAUAUGGUGUUGUUAAUUGAUGUUGAAUUCCAGCUUCUUCACAAAAUUUGUUGAAAGCAUCAGAGGUGUAUUCCUUGCCAUUGUCAGACCUUAUAAUCUGAAUUGAGCAUCCACUUUCAUUUUCAACUCUGGUUUUGAAUUUCCAGAAUAUACUGGGAACCUCUAACUUUUGUUUCAACAUGAAAAUCCAACACAUUCUUGUUAGAUCAUCAAUAAAAAUUAUGUAGUAGAGGUUACCAUUUAAUGAAGGUGUUCUCUGAGGACCACACAAAUCAGUGUGCACCAGUUGCAGCUUUUUCGAGGCUCUCCAAGCUUGUUUAGGGAAAGGUUGUCUGUGUUGCUUCCCAAAAUUGCAGGCAUGACAAGGAGGAAUAUUAUCAUCAAUGUCUGCGAGUCCUUCAACUAGCUUCUUUGAUUGCAUCUGAAACAAUCCUUGAUGAUGAAAGUGCCCAAGUCUUUUGUGCCAAAUCUCAGUGGCACUAGCUCUGGACUUGAAGGCCAUUUGUUCUUUCUCCAUUGGAUUUAAAGCAAAGCUUUUUCCUUUCAUUUUGACAUUGAACAAGUCUUUGCCACUAGCAUCUCUAAUCAAGCACUGUUUAUUCUCAAACAACACUUUAUAGCCUUUAUCGAGUAGGUGGCCAACACUUAAGAGAUUUUGAUCAAUUUUAGGUACAAAUAAAACAUCUGAAACAAAUUUUGUACCUUCAUAGCUUGCUAUAGCUACUGUGCCUUUUUCCCUUGACUUCCAAGAGUUCACCAUUUCCAAUUCUCACUCUCUUAACUUCAGUGUUUUUUAAUUCUUCGAAAAGCUCCUUGUCAUAUGUCAUAUGAUUUGUGCACCCACUGUCAAUCAACCAGCUCUCACUUGAUUCUCUACUUGAGAAACAAGUGACCACGAACAAUUGAUCUUCUUCUUGACCAACAACUUGUGCAUCUACUUCUUGCACCUGACCUUUGACUUUGCAGAUCACAGCUUCAUGUCCAAGUUGAUUGCAUUUGGAGCAUUUUGCAUCGGGUCUUCUCCAACACUUGUAUGGUGGAUGACCUUUCUUCUCACAGUGGCGGCAAGGUGGGUAGGAUUUUUUGGAACCUUCUUCCUUUUUUAAGUUUUUCUUCUUUUUGUACCUGUUGUUGUCUUGAUGCUUGACAGGUAAAGCUCCUUCAAUCACCCCUUCUUGCCUCAUAGACCUUCUUUGCUCUUGUGCUUGUAAAGCAUUCAAGAGCUCUGUAAGAGAGAUUUUUGACAGGUCUUAGGUGUUCUCCAGAGUAGUAAUGGUGGCUUCAAACUUCCCGGGAACAGUGACCUGCAGCUUUUCAACAAUCCUAGAGUCAAUACACACAGAACCAAGUAAUCUCACCUUAUUGGCAAUGCUGAGAAGUCUGUCAGAGUACUCCUUCAUUGACUCAAACUCCUUCCUCUUCUGCAACUCGAAAUCCUGAAUCAAAUUCAGGACUUUCAUUCCACGAAUCCUCUCAUCUCCUGCAAAUUCACCCUUGAGGUAAUCCCAAAUUUCCUUUGUUGUUUUGAGGGACAUUAUUCGUGUGAAGAUCAUUUGAGAUAUAACUGCAAAUAGGCAAGCUUUUUCCUUUGAUUUUAUGGUUUUUUUCUCCUUCUAUGCUUUGAUUUGUGCAACAGUAGGAUUUGCUGGAAGUGGAGGGACUUCGUAAUCUUCUUCUACUGCUUCCCAAAGAUCCAAAGCCUUCAGAUAAGUCUCCAUACGAAUUGCCCACAUUUGAUAAUUGUCUCCAUCAAAGACUGGUGGUGCAACAGCUGAAAAACUUGAUUCUCCUUCCAUUUUGACCUCACAGAUCCCUUAAGAAGAGUGCUUUGAUACCAAUUUGUUAGUUUCAAAACAAAUAAUAUUUGAUUGAUCAAUUGAGAUGAUAUAUUAAAGUUGGAAAGUUGUGCAUUUGUACACAGAAUGAAUAAAGAUUGUUCUAAAAAACAGAAAAUAAAUAUGGUAACAAACCAAUAGUUAAAACAGAAUUAAUUAAUUUUCUAAAAAUCUGGAGACUUAUUCAAUAACAAAAAAAAGCUAACUUGUAGGAUGUUAAACACAUGAUCCUAACAAACAUUCUUAAAUAUCAACUUUUUUUUAAAAGAACUAUAGAAAAGGUUUCAUAAAACCAAUAAAAGAAGAAAGAGUUUGGUUACUGACUUACCACGUCAAAAACAGCCUUAAGUUAACU